rnacentral:rRNA from 1 species
GGAUUUCUGGUGGGAGCGAUCGGUCCGCCCCGCAAGGGGUGUGUACUAGCGUCGUCUCCGGCCAUCCUUGUGGGAACUGUGCGGCCCUUCAUUGGACUGUAUAUGGGAACACAUCGUUUACUGUGAAAAAAUUAGAGUGUUUAAAGCAGGCUUAAGCCGUUGAAUACAUAGCAUGGAAUAAUAAGAUAAGACUUGGGUCAUUAUUUUGUUGGUUUGCGGAUCGAGGUAAUGAUUAAUAGGGAUAGUUGGGGGUAUUCAUAUUUAAUUGUCAGAGGUGAAAUUCUUGGAUUUAUGAA